AAUGAUUCAUACGAAUUAUACAAGCCUAUGUGUGUAUGCGUGUGUUGGGAUUGGGCAAGACCAGAAAUGGUAUCGCGAUGAGCGUGGUAGCAUGAAAGUGUUUCCUCGGCAAAAAGUGUUUUUCCGCGAGUAAUCUGCAUCGGUGGGAAAUGUGCUUGGCGCAGUGGUGAAAAGGUGUGAAAGAGUGUGAAGAGUUUAGGUGGUGCAAAUUGCAAUCGUAGCGGCUACAGUCAGUGGAAAAAAUAGUGGUUUACAGCUCCCGAAGAUAUAUUGUCCCAUCCCUUCGCGAAAUAGCUUGCUUGACCAUCCCGCGGUAUCGUUGUCCCAAACCUCAUCAACCAAAACGGGAUACUAGAGUGUGGCCGCCGAUCGAUCGAUCGAACAAGUCUCAGUGAGUGCUGGCCGCAUUUGCUGCAGUGCGUCCAGUGGAAUAGCAGAUUGGAAAACCGGAGACUUCACGGUGUGCUGGUUUCCGCGGAAAACAUCGAACACGGCCGAAAAGAUAGCGACAGAUUAGAGGACAAACAGACGAACAUACCGACACGCACACAUACCACCACAUAUACGGUGUACAUUCCCUUACAGGACGUGUGUAGAGGGAGCCACCGACGAUAAGAAGCGGUCAAAAUGACGAAGGACAGAUUAGCAGCCCUGCAAGCGGCACAGAGCGAUGAUGAGGACAUGCCCGAAGAUGUGGCUGUCCCGGUGGAGGGCAGCUUCAUGGAAGAUUUCUUCAAAGAGGUGGAAGAGAUACGGAUGAUGAUCGACAAGAUUCAGGCUAAUGUCGAAGAAGUGAAGAAAAAACACAGUGCCAUCCUAUCGGCCCCACAGUCGGACGAGAAAACUAAACAAGAACUCGAAGACCUAAUGGCUGAUAUCAAAAAAACUGCCAACAGAGUAAGAGGGAAGCUUAAGGGUAUCGAGCAAAACAUUGAACAGGAGGAGCAGCAAAGCAAGUCGAAUGCUGACCUGAGGAUACGAAAAACGCAACAUUCGGCUCUGUCGCGCAAGUUUGUCGAGGUCAUGACGGAGUACAACCGGACCCAGACGGACUACCGAGAGCGUUGCAAAGGAAGAAUACAACGACAACUGGAAAUUACGGGUAGAGCUACAACUAACGAAGAACUGGAGGAAAUGUUAGAGCAAGGAAACUCAGCCGUCUUCACGCAGGGGAUCAUCAUGGAGACUCAGCAAGCCAAGCAAACGUUGGCAGAUAUCGAAGCUCGACAUGCGGAUAUUAUAAAAUUGGAAAAUUCAAUUAGGGAACUGCAUGAUAUGUUCAUGGAUAUGGCUAUGUUGGUUGAGAGUCAGGGUGAAAUGAUUGAUCGUAUAGAAUAUCACGUCGAACAUGCAAUGGAUUAUGUUCAAACAGCGACACAAGACACAAAGAAAGCGCUUAAAUAUCAAAGCAAAGCCCGCCGGAAGAAGAUUAUGAUCCUGAUCUGUUUGACCGUGCUCGGGCUGAUUGUUGCAUCUUACGUCAGUAGCUACUUCAUGUAAAAGGAACACUAAGAUGAAAUUGAUGUAUGGAUUCCGCAUUACAUACAAGGCGUGAAACAUUGCGGCUAUGCGUUUGAAAUCUCUGACAAACAACAACAAAUCAGUGUUGUUACACAUCCAUACACAACCGGUAAAAAAAAGGAUUGAUUCUGGGAACUGGACAUAAUCUAGCGUAAUUUCCAUCGUAAUAACACAACGGCAAACGACCAAAAAUGCUUCAUCCAAAAACAGAGAGAGCGUGAGAGAUAGAUAAGAAAGUUAAAGCGAGAGAGGAGAGAGAGAGUGUGUGUGGGAGAAAAAAAAAGAAAAAUAGAACGCGAAAAUGAGUACAUUUCUUCGUAGGUUAUGUUGAUCACUGGAGCAAUAUCGAGCAGGAUAUGUUUGCCAUAUCUACAAAAUAAACUCAGCAGUUAAUUGUAUCGUUCAUUGGGAAGCAAACAGAACAAAGAGAACCACACAAACGUAUUCGCCAACAGCGGACUCCUACAGGCGAUGAACAACUGCAUUGCACAACUGCAGUGUGUGUGUGCGCGCUGGUGUGCAUGUGUACCGAUAAAUGGUGCCUAGGCCGCAUUUUCAGUCCAAAUCCGUACCACCAAUAUUUCUGUAUUUUUAGUUUGGUAUUGUGCAUUCAACAGCUUCGAACUUUCGACGACGAUUUAGGCGAAAGAUGGAAUGCAAAAAGAAGCAAUGUGUGGCCGGCAGUAGUACUAACAUCGUUCAUGUUCAAAUAGUCGUGUACUACGAGAAACUGCUAAUAAAUUGACUGCCAAUGAUAAUGACAGGACAGUCAUAGAAAGAAAGAAAGCGAUCUCUAUGGAAACCAACUACGCUACGCAGAUUUGAUCGUGCCAGGUGCAUGGAGCUAAAGUAAUUUAAAGAUUACUAGCGGUAAACUCCUCCUUCCGAAUUGUUUGCGACUAUUGUCAACCAGUUUCCAAUUGUGCAUAGUUCAGUAAUUGCGGAUGUCUCAACUGAGCCGCUUCUUUUUCGCCAAUCUCUGCAUCCUUUUGUUUACGUAUGGAAAACACUUUUGAUGCAAGGUAUGGCUAUCAUCAUCGCUUUUCAAAUGCCAUCAUUCAUAUUGCACCGUAAAGAAGAAAAGAACUGGUAGAAAACACAAGUGACGGUUGCCGUGCAGAAGCGCUUCGAAGCCAAUGUGAAAGCCAAUAUGUAAGAACAACAAAAGAGAAAGAAUAAACAAUCAAAUAGCUCCGCAAUCAAAACAAAUCAAACAGACGAGGAAUGAAAUGUGAAGAGCAUCAGACCGGAGUACAUUCAAAUGCCACAUAGAAAUUAAAUCAAGAUAGAAACGACAUAACUCUUCAAGCGCUCCAAUUUUAUCUUACUACUCACCUCAGCACAACAGUGUCUAUCUCUUUUCAAGUAUAUGUAAAUUGUCACAGGUGUCGCCAUACUUGCACAUACUGCUGUGCGCAAUUAUUCUUGAUAAAUUACAGAACGUUACUUGCGUGUUACACCAGAACCAAGAGAAAACAAAAUCGCGAUAUUACCGUGUUCAACAUGCCAUACACAACCAUCAAUCCAUCCAGCAGCAGCAGCAGCAGCAGUGGCGGUUCAGAAGCCGAACGUUCACCACACGUUCACAUUGACGUUUGCUACUGACGAGUUCAAUCGCAUUCAUCGGACAGGCAGGCAGGCAGGCAGGCCGGACCCAUAGCAAGUAACGUCCGAUGCUCGUUCGACAACUUAAACAACAGCGUUCAGAACAGCAAGCACAAUAAUGGUAGACUGAUCGCCGCAUCCCAUCGUGCCGCAUGUGUUGUGAGCUCGGUUAUUGUCGCUUGAUAGUGCUCUGCAAUGUACCAUUUGGUUGCCUUUUUGUUUGGGGAGUUCUGGUGUAGCUACAUCGGCAUGGCUUGGUAACAACAAAACAACAAUGCAAAGAAAGAGAGAGAGAGAGAGAGAGAGAGAGGAGAGGUCGAGUAAGCGAGUGAAUGACAGAAAGUGCUUAACAAAUUACAGACACGAGGCAACCGAAUAAACCGAACCGAUGAUUGUUAAGUGCAACAUUCUUCGAGUCUUCAAGAAUGAUGAAACGCAUAGGCAUAGGCAGCGGGUAGAAUACAUUUUAAAUAUGACGACAAUGGCAAUAAAUGUGAACAUAGAUAAGGAUAUAAAGAAACGCCUGCCGCAAAACAAUAGAUCCAUUUUGCUCGAUUUUCGGUCACCUAAAAUUGCAUAAAAGCUAUUAUAAUGCGCGAUUAUAACGAUACUACUCCAAAUUUGACUUUUCAUGUACAGUGUUGUGGCUGGAGCGGCACGUACACCUAAUUGGGUUGCAUAUUAUCAAGGCUAGAAAUGAUGUAUCUUUGCAUAUCCGACUCUCUGCUUCGAUGUGGUUCGAUAGCACGUUUGUUUUGUGUUUGGUAUUCUGAAGAUGAGAAGACAUGAAAAGAAGAAAAAAUCACGUGUGUCAGAAAACAGCAAUUGAACGUCAUAACGUAUAUUGUUCAAACAAAAUGUGUGAUAAUAAUUAAUUCGAAAAAUACUCUCAAAACACAAACACCCUCACGUACGUACACGCACUGUACGCACUGCUGCUUGACUCCCGAGCGGCGGGAGUGCAACGGAUUGGGCGGAAGUAGGAAUGACAUCUACUACUACUACUACUUAAGCAACACAAACACAACACGACGACUACCCAAAACGACAACAAAUAGCAUAUUUAAGAGUAGGUGAUACACAUACACUCAAACACGGGCACGUAAAAGGUGUAAAAAAUGGUAAAGCAACUGCACGAUAUCACGACACAAUAUACUAAUAUUCAGCGUGUGCAAGUAUGGAAUGAUGGUGUCUCGCUCAAGACCCGGUUCGAUGUUAGUUGAUGAGCCUUCCAAUAACAACAAAAACAACAACCAAAAGAAAUGGAAAAAUGGGGCACUCGCGGGGAUAAGUGUGUAGGCGUAUAUGUGGUUUUUAAUUACUCACUUUCACUUAAGUCUCCAGAACGAAAAAAAAAAACUGCAUUUUGUGUGCAAUUUUGCGCUUCCAAUUCCAACUGUAACAGCAGCAACACGUACGACACGUGCACCACACGAGAAUAGUCAAUUUAUCAUACACUACUACUACUACUACUCCUACUGAUCCGGGGAAAGGCGCACCCAAAUGCAUGUCCAAGACUGGCUGGGUUGCAGCAUGUAUUUGUUCUUCUUUCGUUUCCAUUCGUAUAACUUUCCUCCUGGUUAUGAGUGCAGCUGACCUUAAAGGGUGUGGCAAAUUUACAAAACAUUCCACGUUAGCCUGUUUUGGUGCAGAAACUACUACUCCCAAGUGAGCUGGUGACUUGCGAACGAUUUUGUGUCGACCUUGAACAGCCGCGUAUCAUGAGGAACUAGUUUUUCAGACAGAAAAAGACAGAGUUGCAUACUGCCGAAUAACAGAAAGUAUAAAAAUCCAAAAACCUACAAGCGCGUAUUUACAUCCCUCUUUGCGCACCUGUCAUACGAUAAGGAUCUACACAUUCAGUUGCUUAACAGGUGGUUUACUUACACUCAUUAAUCUAUCGAUGUUAUGGACAGACGAAACAGUAGAAGAGCGCGUUCUUUCGAUAUGGAAUGGCAACAAAGGAUGGCAUGAAAAGUGGUCAUGUGUUAUAGAAAAUGCGUAGAUAACGAGCUCAUUGUGAUGUUCUACGAUUUAACUAAAUAAUUUGAGUGUUUGCGUUGAGCUGCUUGUUUCAUGUGAGUUAGCAUUGGUUAGGUUUGUUCCAUUGACCCCCCCCCCCCCCACCCUCCACCGCCCUCUCCACCAAUUGAAGCAACUGCUUUUCUUUUCCACGUUUAACAUUGUGCCAUGAGGAGGAGGAGGAGGAGGAGGAGGAGGAGGGGGGAGUUGCUUGACGGUGAAAAGAGUGUGCGGAUGAUGAUCGAAUAAGGCUAGGAAUACUAUACUGUUACGUCAAUUGUUAAUGCAUGCGUUGUGGGAGCAAACUGGAAAAUUGUGUGUUUGUGAUCAUUGCAGUAAGGUGCUGUGGUGUGGUGUGUGUGCACUCUUUGUGGCAGAUGGAUGGUUAUUGUUUUUUUUCCACAAGCUCUGCUGCUACUGCAAGUAAAGGUGUGGUGGAACAGUGUGUGGACGAUUUAGGAGGACGGUCACGUACGCCAUCCUGCUUCUGAUUUGCAUUAUCAUUUCCUGUUGAAGUUUUCAUUGCUAAUGCAGAACGGAGCUGAUAGCUCCGUGGAAAGGCCACCGAAACAAGCAACAAGCAUGGUGGAGCAAACGAAGGUGUAAAAGAAGUGAAGAUGAAAGUGAAACUCAACCCCGCGGUUAUCACACCUAAGCGAUGGAGGAUGGAAAUUGCAAAGCAUACCAAAUUAAGCAAAUAAUUAGUUAAACAAUACUGUAUUUGAAGAAGAAGAAGAAAAACAAAUGAGCAGCAAACGGUAGAAUAGUGCAAAUGAAAAGUCCGUUACACAAGCCCAAACAGAUGCCGGGGACUGUCGGCAAAGUUCACGUGUGAAAUCAUUAACAACCAGUGAGAAUACAGUAGAUUGUGGACACACAGAAAGCGAGAGAGAUGGUAAGAAGGGGAGUAGGAGAAAGAGUAGGAGUAUGGGAGAAAGAAAGUAAACGAAACUGUAGUGUAAUCAAAACACAAUUUUAAGGCGACAGAAAAUAGUGUAAUGUUCGCUAGAUUUGGAGUUGCAUCUCUUGAAUUAAGCCGUACCCGAUUGGCAAUAGUAGCACGCGUUGCAGAAGCUGAGAAGAUGAGAGAGAGAGACCAGUACACGACAACCGGAGAUUACUUGCCUGCAAUAAAAAAAAAGGAAGGGAAGAGGGAUUGAAGUGGCAAAAAGAAGCAUGGAAGCAAAUGUUGCUGGCUGAUAGUUAUUAUCAUAAGAAAAGUAUAUAUAUAUAUAUAUACAUAAUUAUAUACACAUAGCAUCUAAAAGAAAAAUGCGAAAAACACAAAAAUAUAGCCUAUUCACUUAAAUAGUUAUUUAAUGCAAACUAUAUAUAUAUAUAUAUCUUCAGAACGGAACCGUGUACGCGGACGCAGGACAGCAUCGGCGGAGAAAAAGGAGAAGAAGAAGAAAAGGAGGAUGUGGAGGAGGAGGAGGAGAAGGGGCAGCAAACAAGAAUGGAAGCAAUUGCCAGCAAUUGUAACAGGCAAAACAAAAGCAACCACCUGACUCUUACACAUUUCGUACACAGAAUAUAAACACUUGAAGCAAGAUUAUUAGACGGAAUAGCGGAAGCGAUAAUAGAGUUUGCAAUGGAACGAGAAUGGAGUUUGCAGGAUAAUCGCGAUUAAUUCCACAACAUGUAUGUACAAAACGUACGCGGACAAAGCGCAUAGAAUCAGCGCGCAAACACUGUAGCAGAGACCACACAAAGCAAAGGAGAGGGCAAACCGGAGACGGCACAGGACGACUAACGGCAAACCGGCAACUAACUGCAACUGACACGGCUGUCCUUUGCGGGCGUAUAGUAGUGACAGUGUUAGGCCAGAUAUCCCAGAACACAGAACAAAAACACACACGAACACCUGGCUAGGAAAAGAUUCUGCACCCUGUUGUACAGUAUAUAUUUUUCUCUCUCUCUAUUGCUCUUGUAUCAAUUAACAAACGAGUGGUUAAAAUAAUGUACGCUGAAGAAUAAUAUAGUGCAAAAACAAAGAAAAAAAACAUAAAGCAAACAAACAGACAAAACACACAGUGAAAGAGGAGGAGUGUAGCGUUGGUUGGACAUCCUUACCAUCAAUGAGGGAGAACUGGCGCGUAGAAUUCAACUCAAACGAACGCGAUAACAAACAGAAAUCAGAACAACCAGAACUCGUAGUAGAAACCUCCGAUUCCGAUGAGCGGACGGGCGCACGAAUCGAUAGUAAAGGGCACACACUGUCACCACACAGUACACAACAACAACAACAGCAGUGCAACGACAAAGUAAUAUCUAAUAUGAAUCUCGCUCGCGUUGAAAGGAGACAAACUUUACACAUAUAUUCGCCCGACUUUUCAAAGCUCCGUGAUUGAAUGGCGCUUUUGUUUGUCUAAAACAUACACUACUACUGCCUCUACAUAUGGGUUGUUGGUUUCGCUCGGUUUGCGACUUUAAGGCUAUUCGCUCGCGAUACCGCUUAGUUAUCACGCGAAGCAGAUGUGUGAAGCGUAGCGUUAAGCUGCAUUAUAGAAACACGCGCCCCACCUGCGGGCCAUGCUGCUGCCUAUGCGCGCGCCGUGUAUGAUGCUAAUCGUGUGUUUACGCAGCGCUGGCAGUUAUUGAACGUAUUGAAGGGCAUAGCGCAACGCAAGAAGAGAAGUACAUGUUUCGAAGUUGGCAAAAAGGCAAAAAAUUGUAGCAAAAGUGCGCGAUUUUUGCCAGUCUGCGAUGCAUCGUGAUGUGCAAGAGGAGAAAUAUUUAGUUAAAAACUAUCUCUCUUUCUCUCUCCCUCUGUCUCUCUAUUUCGCUAAAAACAAGCUGCAACUGUGCAACAUGUUGUACACUCAACACUUUCUAACGUAAGCAAUUGAUUUGAUUUGGAAAUCUUGAUGUUGCAAACUUGAAUCGGAACAAUCGAAGCAAGCGCAAACAGCACACAGCGAGCGGUGCGGAGAAGCAGCUAGCAGAACAAAAAUGCGCUUGAUUCUAUUAUAGUUCUCACCGGUGAAGAACGCCUACCUAAAAGCUAACAACACAAUUGAUCAAUCAAUCAGAAUCAUACACCAAGCAAAAAAAAAGGUAUAAAUAUACACACACAAACCACACCAAAAACAAACAAACACUAACAUGAGAGACGAAAGGGGAAAUCCACAAAAAUGACACUAAAAAAUACUAGACACCACCACACACUCACUGAUAUGUAAAGAGGUAUUGCGAUAACAGCGUAAAAAGUGAACGAAACAUAUACAGAACAAACAAACAAACAGACGAACAUAAACAAACAAAGAAAAAGGUAAUAACAGAAGAAGAAAAAGUCGUGUAAAUUGUUGCAUUUAAUCGUAAGUCCAUUUUGAAGUUAUUGCGAAGUUCAAUGAAAGUAAAACAGAAACAAAUAAGAGAAAAGUAACUCCUCUCUUCAGUAACUAGACGUUCAGUGCUAUGAAAACUAUCAAUACGAAUCACAUCAAACAUACAAAAACACAAACACACAGAUAUACGACAACCACACAUCACAAAACGAUAGGCAAAACAUAACAAACAAAAACACAUCGGAACACGCAACACGGUGUUCACAAGCAAGACAAGCAAGAGCACUACCACCACCAGAAUAGAGAAUACCAUUAUCCUUCUCCGGCUGUCAGUUCAUUAUCACUCUCUUCCGGAUCACGUCAAUCGAUCUAUAAACGUAGCAGGCCGGAACAGACAAGGCGUGCAAUAAGCAAAACAAUAGAGUGUUAACGGUAUUGUAUUUAUGUUCGAUGGAUUCGAAAUUCGCAAAGCAUACUACGUUAUUUAAGCUGUAAUAUGAUAUGCGUGUGAAGUGCGUGUAACUUGAGACAACAUAAUAUAAUGAAUGAGUGUACUGGUUUGGUAGGAUUUGUUUGCAGGAGUUGUUUUUCUUUCUGUUUCUGUAACAAGUUAGCAAGUCGUUUUUUCUAGAGAGUAUACAUAUAUAUAUAUAGAGCGAGGGAAACCUUUUUUGUGUUCGACAAGAUUCGUUUCCUAGAUCACGUGUGAUCGAUGCACAGGACACCCCACCCUCACACUCCAACGCACCCAAACACAUACACACACAUCAUCACACACAGAGGCAAAUACAUGCAGUUGAUCAAUGCUGCGUGUGUGCAUCGAACCACAGCCGCGUGCGUGAGUGUGAGAGGUGAAGGACGGGACACACGGAGAGAUAAAGGAUAAUUUACAGUGCAGAGAAGACAAAAAAAAAUCAACAUUACCAAUAAUACAUGAGAAACGAAAACAACAGACACACACACACAUACACCACGUGUACACGAUACAAAAUCAAGUGAUGGCUUUCAAAAUUAUAUAAGGAAGAUCUUAAAAUAAACACAAGUUGAUAAAAGCUAA